CGGAACAAAAGCGGAUUAUUGGGGCAUUUCCGAAAACAAAAAGCCCGGUUUUCCGGGCUUUUCUCUGUCGGCACCUGCUUCGGGAGCAGGGGGUCGCGUGUUCGAAUCACGCUACUCCGACCA
rnacentral:tRNA from 1 species